UACAGAGGGGGCAAGCGUUGUUCGGAAUUACUGGGCAUAAAGAGCGCGUAGGCGGUCUGAUAAGUCAGGUGUGAAAUCCCCCGGCUCAACCGGGGAACUGCACCUGAUACUGUUGGGCUUGAGUGCAGGAGGGGAGAGCGGAAUUCCUGGUGGAGCGGUGAAAUGCGUAGAUAUCAGGAGGAACGCCGGCGGCGAAAGCGGCUCUCUGGCCUGUUACUGACGCUGAGGCGCGAAAGCUAGGGGAGCAAACGGG
rnacentral:rRNA from 1 species